GUAUUAGAUUGGUGCAAAAGUAAUUGUGGUUUUGCCAUUACUUUUAUUAGUAAAAUCUGCAAUCACUUUUGCACCAACCUAAUA
rnacentral:miRNA from 1 species